rnacentral:rRNA from 1 species
GACGAACGCUGGCGGCGUGCUUAACACAUGCGAGUCGAACGGAAAGGCCCCUUUGGGGGUACUCGAGUGGCGAACGGGUGAGUAACACGUGAGUAACCUGCCCUUGACUUCGGGAUAACUUCAGGAAACUGGGGCUAAUACCGGAUAGGAAUCCUUGCUGCAUGGUGGGGGUUGGAAAGCUUCGGCGGUUUUGGAUGGACUCGCGGCUUAUCAGCUUGUUGGUGGGGUAGUGGCUUACCAAGGCUUUGACGGGUAGCCGGCCUGAGAGGGCGACCGGCCACAUUGGGACUGAGAUACGGCCCAGACUCCUACGGGAGGCAGCAGUGGGGAAUAUUGCACAAUGGGCGGAAGCCUGAUGCAGCAACGCCGCGUGCGGGAUGACGGCCUUCGGGUUGUAAACCGCUUUCAGCAGGGGCGAAGCUUGCGGUGACGGUACCUGCAGAAGAAGCACCGGCUAACUACGUG